AUACAAAUCACCUGGGGUAAUUCUUAAAAAUACAGAGCUCAUUUCAUUAAGUCUGUGAUGGUGCCUGAGAUUCUGUAUUUCUAAUAAGCUCCCACGUGGUACUGAU
rnacentral:miRNA from 1 species